rnacentral:lncRNA from 1 species
CCUGGUCUCCUCUGCCAGCCACUUUUUUCCCAUAGAAAACUUCAGAGAAGAUGUUCUAGAAAGAUGCCCUUGUCUUCUCAGAUUCAUUUGUUUCCAAGGACUGGGAAGAUGCCUCAAUUGGUGAUAUUUGGAUGGCCACACACACCAACAACAUCAGCAAAACUGGUGUGAAGAAAAAUAUCUAUGUCCUUACAUCUUGGUCUAUACCUGUUAACAACCAGCAUUGCAACAUCACAUAGGCGGUAGGUGGAGGUAGCCAGGCUAGCCCCAAAACACGCCCCAGUCCUC